rnacentral:rRNA from 1 species
GAUGUGGGAAGGCUCAGACAGCCAGGAUGUUGGCUUAGAAGCAGCCAUCAUUUAAAGAAAGCGUAAUAGCUCACUGGUCGAGUCGGCCUGCGCGGAAGAUGUAACGGGGCUAAGUAGUAAACCGAAGCUGCGGCAAUGUGCUUUUGCACAUUGGGUAGGGGAGCGUUCUGUAAGCGGUUGAAGGUGUGUGGUAACGCAUGCUGGACGUAUCAGAAGUGCGAAUGCUGACAUGAGUAACGAUAAAGGGGGUGAAAAACCUCCUCGCCGGAAGACCAAGGGUUCCUGUCCAACGUUAAUCGGGGCAGGGUAAGUCGACCCCUAAGGCGAGGCCGAAAGGCGUAGUCGAUGGGAAACGGGUUAAUAUUCCCGUACUUCUUACAAUUGCGAUGGGGGGACGGAGAAGGCUAGGUGGGCCUGGCGACGGUUGUCC